AGAACGAACGCUGGCGGCAUGCCUAAUACAUGCAAGUCGAACGAACACUUCGGAGUUAGUGGCGCACGGGUGCGUAACGCGUGGGAGUCUGCCCCUUGGUUCGGAAUAACAGUUGGAAACGACUGCUAACACCGGAUGAUGACGAAAGUCCAAAGAUUUAUCGCCAAGGGAUGAGCCCGCGUAGGAUUAGCUAGUUGGUGAGGUAAAGGCUCACCAAGGCAACGAUCCUUAGCUGGUCUGAGAGGAUGAUCAGCCACACUGGGACUGAGACACGGCCCAGACUCCGUACGGGAGGCAGCAAGGUAGGGAAUAGUUGGAACAAGUGGGACGAAAGGCCUAGACUCCAGCAAUGCCGCGUGAGUGAUGAAGUCCUUAGGUAGUAAGCUCUUUACCGAGAU
rnacentral:rRNA from 1 species